rnacentral:lncRNA from 1 species
AUUUUAGAGUUUAAAUUUCCAACAAUCUCUUGAAGGCCAAAGCCAAUCAGUUGGGCAAAAAUUUCUGGUUUUUUGUUAGCCACUUGAUAUCUUUUACAUCUUUCAAUGCACAAAAUGUUUGAGAAAUUGUGUGAGUAAGAAUCUUGUUUUAUGUUUUACAGAAAGAAGAGGGCUUCACAGUUCAUCACAAGUGAUAUAGGUGUUUAUUUUUUCUACACCCCCAAUUGAUUGAAUAGGUUAUGAACUUAGAUCAAGUAAAAAUGUGGGUAAUUUUUUUGAAAGCAUUAGGGAAAUUAUAACUUGGAAUUUGAAGGGGUCUUUAAUCAAUGAUUUAUAGCUUUUACAUGUUUCCAAACACCUCAUGUUAUAAGAUAUCAUUAUACUGUCUCAAUGUUUGAUCUGGUUCUUGUUAAUGUGGUACAUGAUAUUUUUUUCCAUAUUACAGGUUUUGAAACUUGUGUUCGAUCCUCGUCAAAUGUCUUGUAGCUAAGUGAGCAACUAAGCACAGACCAUUUAAGGUAAAUGUUGUUCGAAUAUAAUAGUCCAGUUUUAAAUAUUCACUACUCAUAUCAUUCCAUUUUUUAUAACAAUUACUUGGUUGAAUUAUUGAGGAUUUGAGUUUUUGCUACUGUUGGAGUGUUGGUGGAGUCCCAGUGUAUUUAUCUAAUUAUGUUUGGGUAUUGCACAACACUGGUGAUCUUAGCAAUCGACAGAAGGUGCAGAAGAAGGCAAUGCCUAUUGUUGCAAAGAGAGUUUAGGUGUUGCGGUCAAGCCAAGAGGGAAAAGAAAUGACGUGUUGGAAGGAAAGCAUGGAUCUGGAUUAUGGAAUCAGUUUUGAUGUGGCAGUAAUUUUUUUUUUGACACAUUCUCUGAGUUGUUCCAACUGUUUAAUUACUUAGAGGACUAUAGAAUCGGUUUUGACUUUCGAUGUUAAUUCUUGACUUCUUGUUGUGGCAGUAAACUUGUGUUUGAGAUAUAAUCAAAGUUCUUCAAUAUAUUUAAUUACUUAUACUAGAAUGGAAUUUUUUUUCA